AUACUCCAGUUUCUCUUCAAACGUAAUAAAACUUUCGCAUUUUACUAAAGAUUUCCAUAGAAAGAUCUAGCUUGAGUAAACAAUUCUUUUUGAGGUUCUACAUUCAGAGCUU